AGUGGACCCAGUGUGAGUUCUUUGUGGUCCAGGGUCGAAGAUCUCAGUUGUCACUUCUGUAGAGGAGCAGCCCAGGGACUCAUAAUGAAGAGGAUGGUGGAUUUAAUUAAGUCUUCAGUGCAGGAUGAUUUGGGCUGCUGCUGUCUUAGGAUGGCUAAUGCAAGACUGAUGACAGCAUCCUCACCAGCACCGAAGUCGAUGGCUUGCCCCAUGCCUCAGAAGGCCGGAACCAAU